GAUGAACGCUAGCGAUAGGCUUAACACAUGCAAGUCGAGGGACCGGCGCACGGGUGCGUAACGCGUAUGCAACUUGCCUCACAGAGGGGGAUAACCCGUCGAAAGACGGACUAAUACCGCGUACUGUGAGAUAGGAAUGCGUCCCAUUAGCUAGUUGGUGAGGUAACGGCUCACCAAGGCAACGAUGGGGAGGGGAACUGAGAGGGUGAACCCCGACACUGGUACUGGGACACGGACCAGACUCCUACGGGGUGCAGCAGUGAGGAAUAUUGGUCAAGGGGCGGGAGCCUGAACCAGCCAAGUCGCGUGAAGGAUGACUGUCUAUGGAUUGUAAACUUCUGUUGUAGGGGAAUAUGUACCCUACGAAUAAGCAUCGGCUAACUCCGUGCCAGCCGCCGCGGUAAUAC
rnacentral:rRNA from 1 species